rnacentral:tRNA from 1 species
CAAGUUGAAUCCCUAGGGGAAUUAUUAUUUACAUUAAUUAAUUAAGUUGUGCAAUUCAACUCUACUUGA